rnacentral:rRNA from 1 species
AUUGAACGCCGGCGGCAGGCUUAACACAUGCAAGUCGAGCGGAGUGAUGGUGCUUGCACUAUCACUUAGCGGCGGGCGGGUGAGUAAUGCUUAGGAAUCUGCCUAUUGGUGGGGGACAACAUCUCGAAAGGGAUGCUAAUACCGCAUACGUCCUACGGGAGAAAGCAGGGGAUCACUUGUGACCUUGCGCUAAUAGAUGAGCCUAAGUCGGAUUAGCUAGUUGGUGGGGUAAAGGCCUACCAAGGCGACGAUCUGUAGCGGGUCUGAGAGGAUGAUCCGCCACACUGGGACUGAGACACGGCCCAGACUCCUACGGGAGGCAGCAGUGGUGAAUAUUGGACAAUGGGGGGAACCCUGAUCCAGCCAUGCCGCGUGUGUGAAGAAGGCCUUAUGGUUGUAAAGCACUUUAAGCGAGGAGGAGGCUCUUUUGGUUAAUACCCAAGAUGAGUGGACGUUACUCGCAGAAUAAGCACCGGCUAACUCUGUGCCAGCCGCCGCCGUAAAAC